GUUUUUUAGCCGAAAAUGCAAUCAAUGAGGAACGAUCAUGGCCGGGAGGUGAAUAUGGUUCCUUAGGUCUUAUUUGAUGGCCCGAAUAAAAUUUAGAUGAUCCGAGUCCGGGGGGCCCGGGACCACUUGGAAGGCGUGGGCUAUAGCACAAGAAAAUAUGGGAAUCAAGCGGAAUUCUAGUUUUUUUGGCCAUAAAAUGCAAAAAAUGAGGAAAGGUCAAGGCGGGGCAGUGACUAUGGUUCCUUAGGUCGUAUUUGAUGGCCAGGUAAAAUUUUAGGCUAUCGGGGGCCGGGGUCUAGGGACCACUUUGAAGGCAUGGUAUAGCACACGAAAAUAUGGGAAUCGGGCGGAAUUCUAGUUUUUUGGCCAAAAAAAGCAAAAAAUGAGGAACGAUCAUGGCGGGGCGGUGACUAUGGUUCCCUAGGUCGUAUUUGAUGGCCCGAAAAAAUUUUAGGCGAUCCGAGUCAGGGGGCCCGGCCCACUCGGAAGGCGUGGGCUAUAGCACACGGAAAAUAUGGGAAUCGGGCGGAAUUCUAGUUUUUUGGCCGAAAAAUGUAAAAAAUGAGGAACGAUCAUGGCGGGGCGGUGACUAUGGUUCCUUAGG
rnacentral:lncRNA from 1 species